rnacentral:lncRNA from 1 species
GUGGGCCUCAAUGGUGGGGGGUGUUGGUGUGGAUGUAAUUAUAAAUGUGUUGGUGUUUAAGAACCUGUAUGUAUAUAUGAAUGUGUCCGUGUGUGUAUAUGAAUGUGCAUUUCAAGGAGAUAUCUUCAUAUCUGGUGCCUACUGGCACCUUACAUGUAAAUCCGUCCCAGAAGGCAGCUUAAAAUAGGAGUAGUGUAUAGCAUUGUAUAAAGUCCUAAUGAAUGGAAAAUGUUCUUUAACAUCUAUAAGUAAUCCUGUGAAACAAAAUAUGUUGGCUGAACACUAAAAAUAACCAGACACCAGAAUAGUUGGUUUGUAGUAAAAAAAAAAAAACGAGCAGUAUAUGGGGGGUACAGAAUAAAAAGGGGAGGUGGGGAGGGAUCUAGGCAACGUUGUUUACACGUACACUUUCUGCCUUGGAUACGUACAUUAUGUAGUUCACAUCACACAUUACGCGUUCCACAUUUCCAAUGCUAGCGUAUACAAUUUUAACCAUUACACUUUAAACGUUCAUAUUUUCCCAAUCCGUAUUUGCUACCUUUCUCGGAGUCGCAGGUGUAGUAUGGAGUGCUGGUCGUAAUAUCGCCACUUGUGUGGUUGGACUAGCGUCUAGCGGGUAAAUUAGUUUUGCAAAACGUGUGUUGUGUUGCUCGCCCUUAUCCCGUGCGUAUUGUGCCGACCCCCUGCCCCUGUAUACUGGUCUCCUUCAGGGAGUCUGGGUUCUUCUCCCCUUGCGUAAUGUGGUUGCCUGGUGGUAGCAUCUGGGCUAGGCGUUCGUGAACUACUAGCGGGGUGCUCACUAGAGCGGCUGUCUAGAUACAUAUUAAGUUGUAGCUCGAUAGUUGUGUGUGGGGGGGGUGUAGGGUGUGCAGAGAAGGGAAGGGAAAGAAUUAAGGGAAGAAAGGGGAAGAGAUUCAGUUUGUGGACCUCUUGAAAAUGGUGUUCCUCUUUGCCCUCCCUCUGGGCCUAUGUUUCCUAGUUGCUAGUUCUACCUUUCUACCUCCAAUGUACCAUCGGUUCUAUGUGUUAGGACCUCCUCCCAGGUCAAGUCUGAGACGUUCCCCGUCUCUCUAGCUUUGGUUCUCUACUCGAUCUCUCGUGUCUUAGCGUACCUAUGCGUCCUGAGUUCUGGAGUGGUGUGAACUUCUCUGAAUGUAUUUUGCCCAUUUGUUUUUUGUGUCUAUGAACGUGUGGUUAUUUGUAAUGUAUUUAUUUGCCAUAGCCUCAUAUUCCCAGUUUGUGGAUGUUUGUGUUAGGAGAUCGUGUUUGCUGGGUGCUUGUGGUUGUUUCCACUGUCUGGCUAUCAGGGUUACUGCCGCUAUGAGCACUUGGAAUAUCAAUUGUCUUUCCUGCUUGUGCCAUUGGGCAAGAUGCAUGAAUAGUAUGCCCUGUUCAGGCCCCAAGCUGUAAGGGCGGCCUAUCACGUCAGUGAUUAUCUCUUCCACCAUCUCCCAGUAGGGAGUGAUUAUCGGGCACGUCCACCAAAUGUGGUACAUUGUCCCCCUUUCUCCGCAACUCCUCCAGCAUUCCCCUGAGCUUCCCGGGUAUAGUUUCGCUAGUUUGUCCGGGACCAUAUACCAUCUGUACAUAAUUUUCCUCAUUGUUUCUUAGUGAGUCGCGCAUGAUGUGUGCCCUUUGUGUAUUUGGAAUGCCUGUUUCCAGUCUAGGUCUGCUAUUGGGCGUCCUAUGUCUUUCUGCCAGGCAUCUCUAAAGUCUCCGUGUCUGUUUGUAUCUACUGCAUUCAGUAGCGCAUAUAGUUUCGACAGGAUUUUUUGGGGUAUACUACCCUGUAGGCAUAUCUGUUCUAAGGCGCCAAUAUUUGGUGGUUCGGCACAUGGACCCUUGCAGUGUGAGGCCACAAAUGAUUUCAGUUGGAGGUAAGGGAAUAUGUGUCUGGAUUGCAAGGAGAACUUGGUUUGCAGUGCUGGGAAUGGCAGUAACUCGUUGUCCACGCAUAUCUGGCUAAGGUGGGUACAUCCCCCUCUCACCCAGGGGGUGUGGUCAAACGUCGGUAUGCCCACUGAGAUGCUCGUGAGUGGGAUAUUCCCUAUAGUUGGUCCGACCAUGCCCAGUGAUGCCCUCACAGAGUCCCAUGUUUUGAUCAUUGCUGCCGUGGUUGGUAACAUGGUUGUGUACUGCGGUCGUAGUUUGUACGGCAGCUGGUAUAGGUGUCGCAGCCCCUGUUUGCAUGCCCAGUGUGUUUCUAUGUGGAUCCAUUGGGGGGGGUCUUCUACUGCGUUUGUCGCUGCUAUGGCAGUCAGCAAUGUGGCUCUAUGGUAAGAACGGAUGUUGGGCAUGCCCAGUCCCCCUUCUUUGAUCGGUUUUUGUAAGAGCUUGCUGGCCACCCUCACCUUGCGGUUGGCCCACACAAACCGUACGAUCAGCUUUUGGAUUGUGCUCAUGUAUUGGCCCGGCAGACUAAUCGGGACUGUGCGCAGCAGGUAUUGGAGUUUGGGAAGUAUAGACAUCUUAAUCGCCGCCAGUCUGCCCAGCCACGAGAGAUAUUUGCCCUCCCAUGUGUGUAGUGUGUCUGUAAAUGAUUUGAUCAGUUUAGUAAAGUUUAACUUGAACAAAUGGGGUAGGUGGGGGGGUAUAUGGACGCCCAAGAAGGUAAUAUAAUCCUUCCUCCAGUCGAAUGAGAAAAGCUCACUCAAAUGUUUCAGCCGGUGAGACUGGACUCCCACACCCAUAGCCUGGGAUUUAGUGACAUUCAAUUUGUAGUAGGAGUUAAGGCCGUAUUCUUUAAUGUCUUCCAUGAGUUUUGGUAGUGAAAUUUGGGGUUGCGUUAGUGUCAACAUGACAUCGUCCGCAAACAAAUUGAUUUUGUAUUCCCUGUCGCCCACUGUUACUCUGUGUAUGGAGCUGUUGGCCCGUAUUGUCUCUGCUAGCGGCUCUAAAGCCAACACAUAUAGUAAGGGGGAGAGUGGGCAUCCCUGCCUCGUUCCGUUAGUGAUGCUAAACGGUUCCGAUGUGAAGCCUGCCGUGACUACCUGUGCCGAUGGUUUGCUGUAUAAGGCCUCCACCGCCGAGCAGAAUGCCCCCGGCAUCCCAAACUUAUCCAGGACUGCUUUCAGGAACCUCCAGCUCAGGCGGUCAAAGGCCUUCUCCGCGUCUAGUGAGAGCGUUACACAUUCUGUAUGUUGUCUGUGGACGCUAUGUAUAAUGUCGAUGACCUUUCUCGUGUUGUCCCCCCCUUGUCUCCCUCUAACGAAUCCGACUUGAUCAUUCCUUAUCAGGUGUGGGAGGAUCGUGCCCAGUCUGAUGGCGUAUAUUUUCGCGAAGAGUUUUGUGUCUGUGUUCAGUAGUGAUAUCGGUCGAAAAUUUUGUGGGUGGAUUGGUGGCUUGCCCGGUUUAGGCAAUGUAAUGAUAUGAGCUUUGAGGGCUUCUGGCGGGAGUGCGUGCUUCGUGGCUGCUUCAUUAAAAGCAUUAGUAAUGUGAGGGGCUAGGGUUCUUUGGAAGUACUUGUAGUAACAGUUGGCGAACCCGUCUGGACCUGGGGCUUUAUCGGAAGGUAGAGAGUCAAUCGCUCUCAUCACCUCCGUUUCUGUUAUCAAUGCGGACAGGCUGUCCUGCUGAGCGGGUGUAAGUUUGGGCAGGGCGAUCUUGUCUAAGUAGGAGGCCAUUUUGGCCCCCUGUGGUUGGGGUGUGAAAGAUACAUAUUUUAAACAAUACUGGGCAACUCCAUGCAGCCGUGUCUCGACUUGUUUAACCCCUUAAGGACCAAACUUCUGGAAAAAAAGGGAAUCAUGACAUGUCAGACAUGUAAUGUGUCCUUAAGGGGUUAAAGGGGUUACGUUCAGCUGUAGUGGUUAUGAGGAGUUCUCUAGUCAGGAUUACCUGGUAAUGUGACCCUUACCUGGGUCCGGCUGGUCUCCGAUGCUGCCAGGUGGUCCAGAAGCAGGAAACCAUGAGGGUUGGCAUUCACUGGCUUAGAGCAUCAGUUGACCACUCUUUAGACAAUGACUCAUUCUGUGCAAUGAAAGUCACACAGAAUUGACAUUGGCCAGCCUGGAACCCCUAUGACAUCUCUGUAUGUGUAGCGUUUCAUAGACAAUACAGACUCAAGACUCAAUGACUACUUAUCUGAAGUGGUCAUGGUGCUUGGUGUAGCCCUUUAAGAUGAAACCCAGAGAAAUAGAGGUGGGAUUCUAAAACAUUUUUUAGAAUGUCCAUCAACUCACUUUGCUGAGCUUAGGAACUAGUAGUGUAAGAUCAUAGUAUGAUUAUUCUACAAAACAAAUCUCAAGUUGGAGCUCUAUUAGUCAAAGUAUAGCCAUGGGGCAUCCAUUUAAUUUAUUAUAUAAAUGCCUAAUCGCUGAUGUUAUUCACGGCUCACAUAGAAUUGCUGCUGUCACCAACAUUCAUCUAGUAUUGGGCUAUUAUGAAAUAAAGCACAGUUUGAGACUCUACCUGGAGAAUGUCUGAAAUGUAUUGACCUACUGAGUCACACGAUUCGUUAUGCCAUUUUCUCCUUUAAUAUAUGCCUUCCUACCCACUCUAUCCCCCCACUGCCAUAUCAGAUGUUUGUUUAGAUCUGUCUGCGUGUCCUCCAGAACUCCCAUGAUCCUGACUUUUAGCUUUCAUCGCCAUGAUGUGUUUGCAGGUUCUUUUUCUUAAUCGCUCACUCAAUUUUAUUUUAUAUUAUUUGAAAUUAAGAACAAUUGAAAGAACUGUAAAUCUGUUGUUUGUCCCAUUUUGUUUUGUUAUUAUUUUUGUUGGAGCUUGCAACGGUUGUUUUAGGUGAGUUUUAUGAAAAUAGUUGGACAAACAAACAAGUUUGUGUUCUCAUGUUCUAAAAAACCAAUAAAGACUUUGUGACUGCAA